UGGGGAUGACGUCAAGUCCUCAUGGCCCUUAUGACCAGGGCUACACACGUGCUACAAUGGCCGGUACAAAGAGUUGCGAUACCGCGAGGUGGAGCUAAUCUCAUAAAGCCGGUCUCAAGUUCGGAUUGGAGUCUGCAACUCGACUCCAUGAAGUUGGAAUCGCUAGUAAUCGCGGAUCAGCGCGCCGCGGUGAAUACGUUCCCGGGCCUU
rnacentral:rRNA from 1 species